UACGGGGGGAGCAAGCGUUGUUCGGAUUUACUGGGCGUAAAGGGCGCGUAGGCGGCCAGCACAAGUCAGUUGUGAAAUCUCCGAGCUUAACUCGGAAAGGUCAACUGAUACUGUGCGGCUAGAGUGCGGAAGGGACAACUGGAAUUCUCGGUGUAGCGGUGAAAUGCGUAGAUAUCGAGAGGAACACCUGCGGCGAAGGCGGGUUGCUGGGCUGACACUGACGCUGAGGCGCGAAAGCUAGGGGAGCGAACGGG
rnacentral:rRNA from 1 species